rnacentral:rRNA from 1 species
AGAGUUUGAUCCUGGCUCAGGACGAACGCUGGCGGCGUGCUUAACACAUGCAAGUCGAACGGAUGGCCUGGUUUUUGGAUUGGGUUGUUAGUGGCGAACGGGUGAGUAAUACGUGAGUAACCUGCCCUCUUCUUUGGGAUAAGCUCUGGAAACGGGGUGUAAUACUGGAUAUUCCUGUCUGGACGCAUGUUUGGGUGGGGAAAGGUUUUUUCUGGUGGGGGAUGGGCUCGCGGCCUAUCAGCUUGUUGGUGGGGUGAUGGCCUACCAAGGCGUCGACGGGUAGCCGGCCUGAGAGGGUGACCGGUCACACUGGGACUGAGAUACGGCCCAGACUCCUACGGGAGGCAGCAGUGGGGGAUAUUGCACAAUGGACGGAAGUCUGAUGCAGCGACGCCGCGUGGGGGAUGAAGGCUUUCGGGUUGUAAACCUCUUUUAUUCCUGAACAAGGCUUGGAUUGUUGUCUGGGUUGAGGGUAGGGGGUGAAUAAGCGCCGGCUAACUACGUGCCAGCAGCCGCGGUAAUACGUAGGGCGCGAGCGUUGUCCGGAUUUAUUGGGCGUAAAGAGCUCGUAGGCGGUUUGUUGCGUCUGCUGUGAAAACGCGGGGCUUAACUUCGCGCGUGCAGUGGGUACGGGCAGGCUAGAGUGCGGUAGGGGAGAUUGGAAUUCCUGGUGUAGCGGUGGAAUGCGCAGAUAUCAGGAGGAACACCGAUGGCGAAGGCAGGUCUCUGGGCCGUUACUGACGCUGAGGAGCGAAAGCGUGGGGAGCGAACAGGAUUAGAUACCCUGGUAGUCCAUGCUGUAAACGUUGGGCACUAGGUGUGGGGGCCUUUCCGGGUUUCUGCGUCGUAGCUAACGCUUUAAGUGCCCCGCCUGGGGAGUACGGCCGCAAGGUUAAAACUCAAAGGAAUUGACGG